rnacentral:rRNA from 1 species
UCGGGAAUUUUGGGCAAUGGGCGAAAGCCUGACCCAGCAACGCCGCGUGAAGGAUGAAGUAUUUCGGUAUGUAAACUUCGAAAGAAUGGGAAGAAUAAAUGACGGUACUAUUUAUAAGGUCCGGCUAACUACGUGCCAGCAGCCGCGGUAAUACGUAGGGACCAAGCGUUGUUCGGAUUUACUGGGCGUAAAGGGCGCGUAGGCGGCAAUUCAAGUCAUCUGUGAAAUCUCCGGGCUUAACUCGGAACGGUCAGAUGAUACUGCUUUGCUAGAGUGCAGAAGGGGCAAUCGGAAUUCUUGGUGUAGCGGUGAAAUGCGUAGAUAUCAAGAGGAACACCUGAGGUGAAGACGGGUUGCUGGGCUGACACUGACGCUGAGGCGC